AUAUCCAGCACCCCCACCUUUACUGCUAGGGGAUGACCAGCCGCUGAAGUCAUUUUGUGAAAUGCAAAUCUGAUCAUGGCACCCUGAGAAACCCCUUCCAACCCUGCAGUGGCCUCCACAGCCUGGUGCCCAUCUGCUCCUCAGGCUUGGCUUGCUCCCGCCCCUGGACCUCACACCCGUUGCUCUCUCUGCUUUCAAAGCGCUUUCCCACCCCCAUCCUGCUUGGUUAACCCUGAGCACCCUCUGUGCCCCCUGGCCAGAUCUGUGAGGACAGAAAGCAGCCUGCUUUGGCUGUCAGCUGUGCCAUGGCAGCCGAGAGCACUGCGAGGCUGGCUGAACCUGAGCUGGGGCAUGGCUCCCUCAUGGACGCCUCCCCUGGGCCCCCAUCGGGCCUCCUUUCCCCUGACCCUCUCUCAGUCGUCCGUGGCUGGGGAUGGGGACCGCACUGCUCUUGGUCACUGUGGGUUCAUGGUGUCUCACACAGGUCCUAACAAUAUACUGAGGUAACAAUCUUCAGUCUUUACUCGGUGAACCAAUGAACUGUCACCUCCAGCUGACCCAAAUGCUUGAGGAGCC